rnacentral:rRNA from 1 species
UGGGGAAUAUUGCGCAAUGGGCGAAAGCCUGACGCAGCAACGCCGCGUGAGUGAUGAAGGCCUUCGGGUCGUAAAGCUCUGUCGGAGGGAACGAAUGCUCCUGAAGUUAACAGCCUCAGGAGGUGACGGUACCCUCAAAGGAAGCACCGGCUAACUCCGUGCCAGCAGCCGCGGUAAUACGGAGGGAGCUAGCGUUGUUCGGAAUUACUGGGCGUAAAGCGUACGUAGGCGGUGACUCAAGUCAGAGGUGAAAGCCUGGAGCUCAACUCCAGAACUGCCUUUGAAACUAGGUCGCUAGAAUCACGGAGAGGUGAGUGGAAUUCCGAGUGUAGAGGUGAAAUUCGUAGAUAUUCGGAAGAACACCAGUGACGAAGGCGGCCACCUGGUUGGAUACUGACGCUGAGACGCGAAAGCGUGGGGAGCAAACAGGAUUAGAUACCCAGGUAGUCCCUGAGCGGGCUGGCAAGGCGCAU